UAAGAUUAAUUUUAAUGUUACAUAAUUAUUAAAUUAGUAACGCUAAAUAAAUUAAAUAAAUAGUUUCUAUUUGUAGGUAUGUCAUGUAGUGAGUAAUAGGUAUGUCAAAUUAAAACUAAGUUUACAGAUUCAAGAACAAACAGUACAUAAUUUAUCGUGGAAUUGAGGAUGUUAAGGAAAACAUU